UACGAAGGGUGCUAGCGUUGUUCGGAAUCACUGGGCGUAAAGCGCGCGUAGGCGGUUAUUCAAGUCAGGGGUGAAAUCCUGGGGCUCAACCCCAGAAUUGCCUUUGAAACUGCAUAACUAGAGUGUCGGAGGGGAUAGCGGAAUUGCUAAUGUAGCGGUGAAAUGCGUAGAUAUUAGCAGGAACACCGGUGGCGAAGGCGGCUAUCUGGACGACAACUGACGCUGAGGCGCGAAAGCGCGGGGAUCAAACAGG
rnacentral:rRNA from 1 species